UACCAGGAUGACAAAGAGCGAUUGCUCUAUAAUCCCAGCUCUUUGACAAACCCUUUAACGCAGGGCCUAAUUGAAAAGAAGUCCAUAUCUGACCU
rnacentral:snoRNA from 1 species